GAUGAACGCUGGCGGCGUGCCUAAUACAUGCAAGUCGAGCGAACAGACGAGGAGCUUGCUCCUCUGACGUUAGCGGCGGACGUGUGAGUAACACGUGGAUAACCUACCUAUAAGACUGGGAUAACUUCGGGAAACCGGAGCUAAUACCGGAUAAUAUAUUGAACCGCAUGGUUCAAUAGUGAAAGACGGUUUUGCUGUCACUUAUAGAUGGAUCCGCGCCGCAUUAGCUAGUUGGUAAGGUAACGGCUUACCAAGGCAACGAUGCGUAGCCGACCUGAGAGGGUGAUCGGCCACACUGGAACUGAGACACGGUCCAGACUCCUACGGGAGGCAGCAGUAGGGAAUCUUCCGCAAUGGGCGAAAGCUUGACGGAGCAACGCCGCGUGAGUGAUGAAGGUCCUCGGAUCGUAAAACUCUGUUAUUAGGGAAGAGCAAAUGUGUAAGUAACUAUGCACGUCUUGACGGUACCUAAUCAGAAAGCCACGGCUAACUACGUG
rnacentral:rRNA from 1 species